UACGUAGGGUGCGAGCGUUAAUCGGAAUUACUGGGCGUAAAGGGCGCGUAGGCGGCCCGCUAAGUCGAACGUGAAAUCCCUGGGCUCAACCCAGGAACUGCGUCCGAUACUGGCAGGCUUGAAUCCGGGAGAGGGAUGCGGAAUUCCAGGUGUAGCGGUGAAAUGCGUAGAUAUCUGGAGGAACACCAGCGGCGAAGGCGGCCCCCUGGGCCGCUCCUGACGCUGAGACGCGAAGGCCAGGGUAGCGAACGGG
rnacentral:rRNA from 1 species